ACGGAAGGCAGCAGUGGGGAAUAUUGCACAAUGGGGGAAACCCUGAUGCAGCGAUGCCGCGUGAAGGAUGAAGUUCUUCGGAAUGUAAACUUCUAUCAGCAGGGAAGAUAAUGACGGUACCUGACUAAGAAGCACCGGCUAAAUACGUGCCAGCAGCCGCGGUAAUACGUAUGGUGCAAGCGUUAUCCGGAUUUACUGGGUGUAAAGGGAGCGUAGACGGCAUGGCAAGUCUGAAGUGAAAGCCCGGGGCUCAACCCCGGGACUGCUUUGGAAACUGCUAAGCUAGAGUGCAGGAGAGGUAAGUGGAAUUCCUAGUGUAGCGGUGAAAUGCGUAGAUAUUAGGAGGAACACCAGUGGCGAAGGCGGCUUACUGGACUGUAACUGACGUUGAGGCUCGAAAGCGUGGGGAGCAAACAGGAUUAGAUACCCUGGUA
rnacentral:rRNA from 1 species